AACCUUUCUGGGCCUUUUGGCUAAGAGCAAUCAUCAUAUCUUUAAUGUUUAGUAUGUGGUUCACUGAGCUACUUGAGAUUAAAUGAUUUCUUUUAGGGGGAGGGCCAUCAACCUAGUAGCUUACUACUAGGGCUCUGACAUGUCACUUAUGCAUUGCACUAUAGCACAAGGAUGGCACACAAUCC
rfam:Picea glauca, whole genome shotgun sequence.